rnacentral:rRNA from 1 species
AUACAGAGGGUGCGAGCGUUAAUCGGAAUCACUGGGCGUAAAGCGCGCGUAGGCGGCUUAUUAAGUCAGAUGUGAAAUCCCCGGGCUCAACCUGGGAACUGCAUCUGAUACUGGUAAGCUAGAGUUUUGGAGAGGGAAGUAGAAUUUCAGGUGUAGCGGUGAAAUGCAUAGAGAUCUGAAGGAAUACCAGUGGCGAAGGCGACUUCCUGGCCAAAAACUGACGCUGAGGUGCGAAAGCGUGGGUAGCAAACGGGAUUAGAAACCCUAGUAGUCC